GCAAGUCGAGGGGUAGCAGGGUAGCAAUACCGCGUGACGACCGGCGCACGGGUGAGUAACCACGUAUCCAACCUUCCCAUAACUCGGGGAUAGCCUUUCGAAAGAAAGAUUAAUACCCGAUAUACUUAUAUAAGGCAUCUUAAAUAAGUUAAAGAUUUAUUGGUUAUGGAUGGGGAUGCGUUCCAUUAGAUAGUUGGUGAGGUAACGGCUCACCAAGUCUUCGAUGGAUAGGGGUUCUGAGAGGAAGGUCCCCCACAUUGGUACUGAGACACGGACCAAACUCCUACGGGAGGCAGCAGUGAGGAAUAUUGGUCAAUGGGCGAGAGCCUGAACCAGCCAAGUAGCGUGAAGGAAUGAAGGUCCUAUGGAUUGUAAACUUCUUUUAUAGUAGAAUAAAGUGAUCCACGUGUGGAUUUUUGUAUGUAUACUAUGAAUAAGGAUCGGCUAACUCCGUGCCAGCCGCGGC
rnacentral:rRNA from 1 species